rnacentral:lncRNA from 1 species
UUCAUGCCAUGCUCCAAGCACACACAGUAUUUGUAACAGCCCAGAUUUCCAGGUAUCUUUUAUUCAUAUAUUUUUGGUGUUUUGUGAGGGGACUCGGCGAGUUGGAGCUCAAACUCGCCGAGUAGGAUCGCGGUUCUGGACGCAGGUUCGCGCCUGGACUCGGCGAGUCCGCGUUGUUUAAUGAAACCCUAAUUUCCCGGUCCUAAGCCCUAUUUAAAGGACCUUAUGGCCCUUCAUUGCGGCUACCUUGACCUUGAGAGCACCUAAACAGCUGAGGGUUCUUGUGAGUGAGAUAAGAGGCCAUUAUUCACCAAUUUUGUGUGUAUUUGCAAGAAAGGAAGGGGAAAAUCAAGCUAGGAGAGUUGGGGAGCUUGGAUCUACUUCCAUUUCGUCAGAGGAAGCUUCUUGAGGUAUCAUUCAGAGCUUAUUCUCGUGUUUUUGUUGUUAUGGUCAAAUCUAGGGUUUCUUCAUGCCUUGUUUGCCUUGUAUUUGGAGUGUGAGAGGUCCCAUGGGGAUAUGGUACCUAGAUCUGGACCUUAGCAGGUCCAGAGAGUCCCAAAUGCCAUGCUUUAUGUCCUUCCUUUUGGGUUGGAGACUUAGGUUGCCAUCUUAGAGGUCAUUUCUUCAAAAGGAGCCUUGUAGGUGUUGCAUGGUAGACAAGACUGUGACUUUACGUGAUGAAUGAGCUUGGGAGGGCCGGAUCUAUGAGUUGAUGGAGCGGAUUUGACCUCAGAAGCGAGAUUGAGUUGAUGAAUGGCAUGGACUCGCCGAGUCCGAAGAACAGACUCGGCGAGUAGCAUGAAGAUUGUCCUUAACCACUCAGCGAGUGGUCUUGCCGAGUUAAGGGUCGACUCAGUGAGUCAGGGAGAGUUAGAGAGGGUUGACAGGUGGACUGAGUCGAGCUAGAACUCGCCGAUUUGUUCUUGAGACUCGUCAAGUUGAGUCGUGCUGGCCCCGCGAUUCAUGCCAGGUGGGACUCAUCGAGUUGGGGGUGUACUCGACGAGUCAGGAGAGGAUCCUAGGGAGUUAGUGAACACGUAUAGACUCGCCGAGUCGCCCUAGUGCACUCGCCGAGUCCGAUCAAGGUUGAUCGUUGACUGUUGACCAAAGUUGACCAGUGUUGACUUGAUAGGGGUAGUCAACCUUAGUGGUAAAAGUGUUAAUUAGAGAUAUAUGAUGUUAUAGGAGGAUUAUAGCUCGGAGGAUCGAGCACGAGUGAUUUCCAGGAUUCGCGAGUUAUCGAGAUAUACGAGGUGAGUCUUCUCACUAUACUUUACCUUGAGUAGGUAAUCAGAGUUAUGUGACAAAGUAUUUGUAUGCUAUAUGUAAGUUAUGUGUUGUACUGCAUUAUUUAUAUGUGAUUUAUGUUGUGCAUGUUUAUAGAGUUGGAACCAAAAGGUUCCCAGAGUUAGAACCAGUAGGUUCACAGAGUAGGGUCUACGGACCCACAGAGUUAUAGCCUUGAGUGGCUAAUUUGUGUUAUUUGUGGUAUAUUGGGGAACUCACUAAGCUUUGUGCUUACAGUGUUAGUGUUGUUUGUUUCAGGUACUAGUGAUGACCGUGGGAAGGCACCAGCUUGAUCUGUACACACGCAUGGGAUUUUUAUGAUAUGUGAUCUUGGGAUUUUGUAUGAUAUGGAUUGGAGUUUUAAACUUGAUGUUUUAUGAAAAUUAAAUGAAAAUGUUUUUAUAUUAUGAGAAAAAAAUUAUUUUGAAAUUCAUGGUGUUUCAGUUUGGUAUUAGAGCCUUGGUUUGAGGGAUUCGAGUACACCUUCCGGCGUAUUUGAACUUAAACUGAGGAUUUGAGAAGUAUUUUCAAAAAGAGUAAAAGAUUUUGGAAAAAACGCAGAGCAGAGUGUGUGUACGAUCGGUCCGCGCCCGAAUGGAGAUUUCCCAAAAUACCCUCAUAUUUUGUGAUAUUGAUAUUGAUAUAAUGUAUUCGCAUGCUAGAGUAGGCUAGGUAUUCCUAUUAGGACUAGAGUGGCCUGAUUUGUGAUGCCUUAGCCUACGAAGAGGUGAGCUGCUAUGAGAUGCUUGAGAGUGAGUAGGUAGCAGCGAAGAGUUUAUGAGAGAUCUUUUAGAGAAUGGCCUAUGCAUGAUAGAGUAUUUGGAAUUUGGGACCCGAAGAGGAGGACUUGCGGUGUAUUCUGAUACGGUGUGGAUAGUAGUAUUGGGCCCGUACUACUGAAAGCACCGGAGCGGUGUACAGCCCAAGUAAGAAUCUUUGGAAUACCAAGGAUCAAGGAGGAAUGAGUUGUCGAGUGUGAGUAUGCUCGAAGGGGUUCUAAUUUUUCGUAUGUUGUAUUUCAGAGGUAGAUCAUGGUGAGGACACGUUUGAUGCCUGAGAGCAGUGAUACCAGUGAUGAGGAGAUCCGCCGGAUCAUCCACGAGGAGGUGGCUGCGGCCAUCAGGGCAGUGAUACCAGAGAUGUUCGGGUCUAUUAAGACCACGUUGAUUGAGACUUUUGACGAGUGUUAUGCCGCUCUUUUGGAGGCUGUUGUUGCAGUGGCCACCGCAGCUAUUGCUGUCGCGAGGCCGCAAGGUGGUGAUGCGUUGCUGUUCCGGGAGUUCAGCAACACAAAACCACCAGAUUUCGAUGGGACCCAAGACCCGGUGGCAGCUAUGAGGUGGAUUCCUGACAUAGAGGGGUGUUUCUUCACUUGCUCAUCUCCUGAGCAUUUGAAGGUUCGGUUCGCGCUGAACCAGCUUCGCUUGGGAGCGAAGGACUGGUGGAAGUUUGUGACGGCGCACUUUACGCCUGCUGAGCUUGCGACAGUGACCUGGGAGAGGUUCACUGCCAUGUUCUGAGAUGAGUACGUUCCACAGGUGGAGAGGGAGCGUUUGGCCCAGGAGUUUCUGACCCUCAAGCAAGGUACUGAGUCGGUUACAGCGACUACCAGGAUGUUCCAUGAGAGGGCGAUGUUCUGCCCUGAGCACGUGUCCACCGAGCAGGCACGUAUGAGCCGAUAUCUGAGUAUCUUGAGGCGAGAAAUUCGGGAGUUCGGGGCGAACUUCUUGUACCGGACAUUUGCUUUGCUUCAGGCAAAUGCCCGGAAGAGGGAGAUUGAGCUAGAGACUCAGGCCAGGGAGGAGGCAGAGUCUCAGGGGAGAGAUCGGUGACCGGCAUAGUCUCAGCCGGCACCCAAGCGGGCUAAGCCUGCUAAUCCCAAACCAGGGAGCCAGAAGGGCCGCACUUGUGGGAAGUGUGGCAAGGGUCAUGAUGGAGUCUGUAGAGCGGGAUCUUUCUACAAGUGUGGAAAGUAGGGGCACAUGGCCAAGGACUGCCCCAAGGGGUUUGCAGUGCGUUUCCACUGCAACCAGACCGGACACCGGAAAGCGGAGUGUCCGCAGUUGUGGGGAUCAGCUCAGGGAGCACCUCAAGGAUCUGCCCCUGCCGCCAUCAGAGUUACCGAGAGUCGGCCAAUGAAGGCCGAGGCGCCGAGGGCACGAGGGAAAGCCUUUCAGUUGACCGCGGNUCAGUGUUAGUCGUGUGGCGUUGAGUCGGCCUCUGAGAGUGUCCAUAGCUGACGAGAGGCUGAUAUAUGCCACGGAGGUUCUCCGAGGGUGCGUAGUCGAGAUUUUCGGUGUUGAGUUCCCGAUUGAUCUGGUUCCUAUUGCGAUGGGUGAUGUCUGUGUCAUUGUGGGCAUGGAUUGGUUGAGCAGAUUCGGUGCGGUUAUCGACUGUGAGCGACAGCUGGUGACCAUACGAGACCCUAGUGGGGGAGUUCUUUCGGUGUACGGCGAGGGUACACGUUCAGGAUCAGCGUUUUGUUCGGCCGCUAGGGCGAGGCAGUGUCUACAGCAGGGCUGUAAGGGUUUUGUGGCGUAUGUGAUGGAUACGCGGGUGGAUUCCGAGAGGCCGAGUUCAGUUGAGGAGGUUCCGGUAGUGCGUGAGUUCCCGGAUGUAUUUCCCGAGGAGUUGCCGGGUGUGCCUCCUGUGAGGCAAGUGGAGUUCAGUAUCGAUUUGGUUCCGGGGGCCGCGCCUAUCGCUAAGGUGCCUUAUCGCCUUGCACCUCCAGAGAUGCAAGAGUUAUCCUCGCAGCUUCAGGAGCUGCUGGGGAAGGGGUUUAUUCGGCCGAGCAGCUCGCCGUGGGGAGCGCCUAUCCUGUUCGUCAAGAAGAAGGAUGGUUCACACCGGAUGUGCAUUGAUUACCGGGAGUUGAACAAGCUGACGGUCAAGAACCGUUACCCGUUGCCGAGGAUCGACGAUUUGUUCGAUCAGUUGCAGGGAGCAUCUUGGUUCUCCAAGAUCGAUUUGAGGUCUGGAUAUCAUCAGGUGAGGGUGCGGGAUGAGGACGUCCAGAAGACAGCGUUCAGGACGCGUUAUGGGCAUUAUGAGUUUGUGGUGAUGCCUUUUGGGCUCACCAAUGCCCCGGCAGUGUUCAUGGAUCUCAUGAACCGAGUGUGUAGGCCGAUGCUGGAUCGGUCGGUGAUUGUAUUUAUCGACGACAUUCUGGUAUAUUCGAGAUCUAGAGAGCAGCAUGAGGAGCAUUUGAGAGAGGUUCUCGGAGUUCUGAGAUCGGAGAGGCUUUAUGCCAAAUUCUCCAAGUGUGAUUUCUGGUUGCGGGAGGUCCAGUUCUUAGGACAUCUCGUUAACCAGGAAGGGAUAUUGGUCGAUCCGGCCAAGGUUGAGGCGGUGAUGAGUUGGGAGGUGCCGAAGUCACCCUCCGAGAUCAGGAGUUUCCUAGGGUUGGCAGGGUAUUAUCGGAGGUUUAUCAAGGAUUUCUCUAAGAUCGCAGUGCCACUCACCAGAUUGACCCGGAAGGGUGUUGCUUUUUCAUGGGGCCCCGAGCAGCAGGCCUCCUUUGAGACACUUCGCCAAAGGUUAUGCGAAGCCCCGGUGUUAGCCCUCCCGGAAGGGAUGGAGGACUUUGUGGUAUACUGUGAUGCAUCGAUUUUGGGGUUGGGAGCGGUGCUGAUGCAGAGAGGGCAUGUGAUAGCAUAUGCAUCGAGGCAGCUGAAGCCUCAUGAGACGAGAUAUCCCACCCAUGAUCUAGAGUUGGGGGCAGUGGUGUUCGCCCUCAAGAUUUGGCGUCACUACCUGUAUGGGGUUCGGUGUACGAUAUACACGGACCAUAAGAGUUUGAAGUAUUUGAUGGAUCAGCCCAACCUAAAUAUGCGACAGAGAAGGUGGUUGGAUGUGGUCAAGGAUUAUGAUUGUGAGAUCCUGUACCACCCAGGCAAGGCUAAUGUGGUAGCCGAUGCAUUGAGCCGCAGGGCGGAGAGCACCCCGCUGCGGGAUGUAUGUUUGAGAUUGACCGUGAUAGCUCCAGUGUUGGACGCCAUUCGUGGGGCACAGGCCGAGGCUGUGCAACCUGAGAUGCAGAAGAGGGAGCGGGUUGUUGGUUUGGUUUCAGAGUUCGUUACCGAUGGUCGGGGGCUUAUGACAUUUCAGGGGCGUAUCUGGGUGCCGUUUGUGGGAGGAACGCGUACCAUUUUGAUGGAAGAGGCUCAUCGGUCGAAGUUUUCGAUCCAUCCUGGGGCCACUAAGAUGUAUUUGGACCUGAGGAAAGAGUAUUGGUGGCCCUGUAUGAAGAGGGAUGUUGCGUGGUUUGUUGAGAGGUGUUUGAGCUGCCGUAGGGUUAAGGCCGAGCACCAGAGGCUGCAUGGUAAGUUGCAGCCAUUGGAGGUUCCCAAAUGGAAGUGAGAACAGAUCACUAUGGAUUUCUUCACCAAAUUGCCAAGGACUGCCAGAGGAGUUGAUGCAAUUUGGGUGAUUGUGGACAGAUUGACGUAGAGCGCUCAUAUUCUUGCUAUCAGCGAGAGUUCUUCAGCAGAGAAAUUGGCAGAGGUGUAUGUCAGGGAAGUGGUAUCUCGGCAUGGGGUGCCGAUCUUGAUUGUUUCAGACCAUGAUGUGCGCUUCAAUUCUAGAUUCUGGAAGAAGUUUCAUGAGGAGUUAGGUACUAGACUGCAUUUUAGUACCACAUAUCAUCCCCAGACAGACGGUCAGAGUGAGCGGACAAUUCAGACGCUCGAGGACAUGCUCCGGGCAUGUGUGUUGGAUUUUGGGGGUAUCUAGGAUGCAUAUUUGCCCUUGGCAGAGUUUUCCUACAACAACAGCCAUCAUUCGAGCAUUGGUAUGCCACCCUUUGAGCUGUUGUAUGGGAGAAGGUAUCGGACCCCCAUUUGUUGGGGAGAGGUUGGACAACGGGUAAUGGGCGGUACAGAGAUCGUGCUUCAGACGUCAGAGCAUAUCCAGCAGGUCAGACAGAGGUUGUUGACCGCUCAGAGCCGACAGAAGAGUUAUGCAGACAGACGCCGGUCCGAGCUUGAGUUUCAGGUCGGCGACCUUGUACUCCUGAAGGUCUCUCCUUGGAAAGGAGUGAUUCGAUUCAGGAAGAGGGGCAAGUUGGGGCCCCGAUAUAUUGGUCCUUUCCGUGUGAUCGCGAGGGUAGGCCGGGUAGCCUAUCGUUUGGAUUUGCCAGCAGAGUUGGGGCAGAUUCACGACACUUUUCAUGUGUCGCAGCUGAGGAAGUGUAUAGCCGACGAGUCGGCAGUGGUUCCAUUAGAGGAUAUUCAGGUGGAUGCGAGCCUGAAUUAUGCCGAGAGACCAGUGGCCAUCAGAGAUCGGAAAGUCAAGGUUCUGAGGAACAAGGAGGUACCCCUGGUGUUGGUUCAGUGGCAGCAUCGGAAGGGGUCAGAGAUGACCUGGGAGCCGGAGCGUGAGAUGCGUGAGCAGCAUCCGGAGCUAUUUGCAGAGCGAGACUUCGAGGGCGAAGUCUAGUUCUAGUGGGGGAGAAUUGUAACAGCCCGGAUUUCCAGGUAUCUUUUAUUCAUAUAUUUUUGGUGUUUUGUGAGGGGACUCGGCGAGUUGGAGCUCAAACUCGCCGAGUAGGAUCGCGGUUCUGGACGCGGGUUCGCGCCUGGACUCGGCGAGUCCGCGCUGUUUAAUGAAACCCUAAUUUCCCGGUCCUAAGCCCUAUUUAAAGGACCUUAUGGCCCUUCAUUGCGGCUACCUUGACCUUGAGAGCACCUAAACAGCUGAGGGUUCUUGUGAGUGAGAUAAGAGGCCAUUAUUCACCAAUUUUGUGUGUAUUUGCAAG